rnacentral:rRNA from 1 species
AUACGGAGGGUGCAAGCGUUACUCGGAAUCACUGGGCGUAAAGCGCGCGCAGGCGGGCUGAUAAGUUGGAUGUGAAAGCCUACGGCUCAACCGUAGAACUGCAUCCAAAACUGUCAGUCUAGAGUCUGCGAGGGGAAGAUGGAAUUAGUUGUGUAGGGGUAAAAUCCGUAGAGAUAACUAGGAAUACCAAAAGCGAAGGCGAUCUUCUGGAACAGUACUGACGCUGAGGCGCGAAAGCGUGGGGAGCAAACAGAAUUAGAUACCCUUGUAGUCC